UCGCCAUGAUAAGGGCACCUUCUUAAUAAAUCCUUGAAUCUCUCUUAUGCAUCAUAUAAUGCCUCUAAAUUGAUUUGGGCAAAAGAAGAGAUGUCACUCCUUAACUU
rfam:Gossypium raimondii chromosome 6, whole genome shotgun sequence.